CCUACGUGAGGCAGCAGUAGAGAAUCUUCCACAAUGGGCGAAAGCCUGAUGGAGCAACGCCGCGUGGGUGAAGAAGGUCUUCGGAUCGUAAAACCCUGUUGUUAGAGAAGAAAGUGCGUGAGAGUAACUGUUCACGUUUCGACGGUAUCUAACCAGAAAGCCACGGCUAACUACGUGCCAGCAGCCGCGGUAAUACGUAGGUGGCAAGCGUUAUCCGGAUUUAUUGGGCGUAAAGGGAACGCAGGCGGUCUUUUAAGUCUGAUGUGAAAGCCUUCGGCUUAACCGGAGUAGUGCAUUGGAAACUGGGAGACUUGAGUGCAGAAGAGGAGAGUGGAACUCCAUGUGUAGCGGUGAAAUGCGUAGAUAUAUGGAAGAACACCAGUGGCGAAAGCGGCUCUCUGGUCUGUAACUGACGCUGAGGUUCGAAAGCGUGGGUAGCAAACAGGAUUAGAUACCCUUGUAGUC
rnacentral:rRNA from 1 species